UCUUCGUUGUAUAUUAACCGGAUAAAGUUCCUCCCUUAAGGGAGGAGUUAACUGUAGAAGGACCUGCAGCAUCUGCACUUCGGAGCCAUCUAUGUCCCAGUCUCAGGCAGGCUGCAGUGCAAGCAGUCUGUACAGCAGGUCUGGCUGCCCCCUCUCCUGUUUAGACGUCGGGGAUAUGAGAAAGCAAGCACUGGAAAGCUUGCUCAGACAGAGAUCACCAGAUCAGCAUGCUGUGCCUGUGAGAAGGUUUUGGAAAGUUAGCUAUCCUUUUUUCAACUGUUGAUCCUCAGCUGUGAAGGCUGCUUCACAGGAAGUCCUGCCCCACGGUCCUUUGUUCUUCUUUAGGUUCAGGAAACCCCAACUACUUUGUGACACUGGAGCUGGCUAAGUCCCAGCUUGGGGAUGGAUUGGUGCAUCUGGCUGCCAUGUUUUGCAUGGGUCCUAAGGCCUUUCAUAGGUUGACACUGGACCCUAAGGCUUUCCAUGUUUCUUAUUGUUGUCUACGAGUUUAGACUGGAUCUCACUGGCACCUAAGGACUUCCCCAGUGGUCUAAGGCCUUCCAGCCUUCCCUAAGUUCUCACUAGGU
rnacentral:lncRNA from 1 species